GGCCUCGUAGCUCAGCUGGUAGAGCGUGCGCUGUACAAAAGCGUAGGCGGCGUCCAUGCGUAGGUUCCAAUCUCACCGAGGCUU
rfam:Echinostoma caproni strain Egypt genome assembly, scaffold: ECPE_scaffold0006031